rnacentral:rRNA from 1 species
GAUGAACGCUAGCGGCAGGCUUAAUACAUGCAAGUCAAGGGGGUAGCAAUACUACCGGCGCACGGGUGAGUAACACGUACAUAACAUACCAUAUACUGGGGUAUAGCUUUGGGAAACUGAAGGUAAUCCCCCAUAACAUUGCGAGAGGGCAUCUGAUUGCAAUUAAAGUUUCGGCGGUAUAUGAUUGGUGUGCGUUUGAUUAGCUAGUUGGUAGGGUAACGGCCUACCAAGGCGACGAUCAAUAGCUGGCGUGAGAGCGCGACCAGCCACACUGGAACUGAGACACGGUCCAGACUCCUACGGGAGGCAGCAGUAGGGAAUAUUGGACAAUGGAGGAAACUCUGAUCCAGCCAUGCCGCGUGAUAGAUGAAGGCCCUCUGGGUUGUAAAUAUCUUUUAUCUGGGAAGAAACACUCCUAUUCUUAGGAACUUGACGGUACCAGAGGAAUAAGCACCGGCUAACUCCGUGCCAGCAGCCGCGGUAAAGUACAGUG